AGGUGUGGCCUGGCUUUCAGGAGAGUUGGGCCAUGUGGGGACAGCGGAUUUCAUUAAGGAGAGGUGGAAGGGCAGGGUGAAAGGGGUAUAUCAAACCAAGGAGGCUUCUGCAGGACUUGGUUUGAGGUGAGGGGGUUUCAGGGAGUAGCAGGCUUGAGCUCUUUGAGGGGGCAGCCAUGAGAGUGCGUGGGGCAAGGCGGAUGGCAAGAAGGAAAAGGCCACCAAACAGCUGGCCACGUGAGUGACUGUGGGACGAGUCUGCUGAGGUGCAACCAUCCCUCGACCCCUCUGCACGCUAGGAGCUUGUCUUCGGUUUGGAGCCUGGAGCACGGCCCCUUCUUGGAAAGGUGGCUUGGCCAGUUCACUGGCCAAAUGUGGAACCGGAAGUCACAAUGUAGCAUUCACACCAAGAACACUGGAGACUAUUCCUCCCUCCUCGGCUGCCGACCGCCCCUGCCUGGCUGGUGAAGACCUGCCUGCUCCAGCCUUGUGGGCCCACCAGGGCAGAUGAGGACACGGAGAAGACAGCCAUCUGUGAGCCAGGACACUGAAUCUGCCAGCGCCUUGAUCUUGGACUUCCCAGCCUCCAGAACUGGGAGGAAUAAAUUUCUGUCAUUUACAAGCA